GCAUUUUGCCUUUCUUGGCCGGAGCCAAGUCGGCAAGUUAGCCAGUCAUCUUGCUCGAGAGUUGACUGUGGAAGAAGCGUGGCUUCAACUUAGGGGGGAUUUCAUCGCCAUCUCCGGCCUUCCACUAACGUAGAUAUAUCGGUUCCUGUAAGAGUUCGACGCAUCGUCGGUGAUCAGACCGCUGAUUCCCAAUGGAACGUUGGGCCU
rnacentral:lncRNA from 1 species